rnacentral:rRNA from 1 species
AUUGAACGCUGGCGGCAGGCCUAACACAUGCAAGUCGAACGAGCGGCGGACGGGUGAGUAUAAUCUGGGAAACUGCCUGAUGGAGGGGGGGAACUACUGGAAACGAUAGCUCAUACCGCAUACCCUCAGAUGUGCCCACAUGGGAUUAGCGAGUGGGUGGGGUAAAGGCUCACCUAGGCAACGAUCCCUAGCUGGUCUGAGAGGAUGACCAGCCACACGGGAACUGAGACACGGUCCAGACUCCUACGGGAGGCAGCAGUGGGGAAUAUGGCACAAUGGGCGCAAGCCUGAUGCAGCCAUGCCGCGUGUGUGAAGAAGGCCUUCGGGUUGUAAAGCACUUUCAGUGGGGAGGCGUUACCCGCAGAAGAAGCACCGGCUAACUCCGUGCCAGCAGCCGCGGUAAUUC